rnacentral:lncRNA from 1 species
UAUCUAAUACUAAAAUCCCGAACAGAACACUUUCUUCCAGAACUUUUAUUUGACCGUUAAAGCAUAGAUCUGUUUUCCAAGAGAAUUUAAAUCCCAAAAUAGCUUCAGUAAUCAACAAACGAAGGCAUGUUUCCUUGUGAACAUCGAAAAAUAAUAUAUAAAACAGUCAGAUAAAUUAAACCCUUUUCCAGUAACAGACACUGAAUAAUAGACUAUACCGAAUAAAUACAAAACAGAUCCUAGAAUACAAAAUUAUGCAACCCUGACACUUGAUUGAAGAUUUGAACAAGGGUAGAAAUGGACUGGGUAAGUCUACAUGUUACUAAAAACAAUCAGUAUGCACGUAAAGCUUCGGAUUUUCAUAAAUAUCAACAACUGAUACCUCAGUAAUAAAACCAACUUACAUCUUCAAUGGCGGUCCUUGGAGCAGAUCCGAUAAAAUGCUUAACAAAACGAGUUCUAUCAAAUAGGUCUACAAAGGUAAAUUGUAAAAAGAUCAACGCAAGAACAUAAAACAAAGAUAAGUACAAUAAUCAAGCUUCAACAUAGAAGAAAUUGGGCUCCACACUCAAUUUUAAAUGAACAUAGAAAUAUUAUCUAGAGCACGUAUGGGACAAAGAAUGUCAAAGGUAAAAUAUAAAGUGGCAUGUUGACCAAGCAUCUUAUUAGCAAAUAAUAAAUAU